CACACUUCUGAUCGCAAUUUCGGUCCUCACACUAUACGUCGAUCAUGUUAUCGGUAAGUUCAAAAUAUUUUAUAAUGUUUCAAUUGUCUUUUGCAGGAGAACUGAUUGGAAUCUCAUGUUCUCCUACUUUGCUGCAAAUGAAGCUCAUGUGAUCUCUACAUAAAUAGAAACACACAAACCUACCAGGUGAUAGGAGAUAAGGGCUCCGUCACCUUGUGUACCCAACCGCACAAACAUGUUUAUCAUUGUCUAGUUGUUUUGUUUCAUUCACCCAUUGUACAUCUUUGCACACUAUUUUGGUGCUUUAAAAAUAACAACAGAAAUAACUAAAAUAAACCAUUAGCUCAUUGAAUCUGCUCAUUACGGAAUCUCAGACUCAGAUUAGCGUGUUUGUUUUAGAGGAUAAGCAAUUCAUACCCUGAGCAUUCUUCAGAUGGUUUGUUUUGUUAGCUUUUACUGAUUUCACUGGAAGGCUGUGCAAGGUAAAUGCCAAUUUUUCUGUAAAAUAAUGUUGACUCUCAGACCGUCACUCUUCUACUUUAAAUCAUGUCUUCUCGAUCUGUUUCUUGAAAUUGAAGAAACAUCUGUUCUAUUGCAUUUCUAUGCGUGCACAUUCAGUCUUGACGGUGAUUAAGGAUUUGUGGGUAGGAAUAGGCUGGAGAGCUUCCUGGUCUACAGCUACUCCUGCACCCUAAGAGCCGUGAUGUCUAAACUUGACACCACAAAUAGUUGGAAAGAAAAAUUCCCCUAAUGCUUAGCCAUCACGCCAUGGGUCGGCAACACUGUGUGAAGACUUCAGAAAUAAUUAAAGUUUAUUCUUAUUGUUUCUUCCCCUCUACAAUCCCUAUACAUUAUGGAGUCAAUUCACUAGAUAGUGAAUUGAAAACAAAAUUGCUAAUUUAUUUUUUAAAUAGUAAUUGAGUACAGGUCUUCAAUAGAAGUUGUAGCCUGGCAAUUUAAACCCAAAGUUAGAAGUUUGUUUUUUAAUUCACUACGUUAUGGUAUUUAAUGAAUGAACCUCUAAGACUUGCUCCCCAGCCAGUGAUCAGACUGCUAAUUACAGGGAAAAGACAGCAAUGGCUAACGUGUCAUGUAAUCACCAAGCGUUCCAUUCGUCUUAAUGUAUCUCGACUCAUAAUGCUACUUCCCCAUCCAUUAUAGCAACAUCCUAUUUUUAAUAAAGCUGAUUUUCAUAUUAAAAACUCUCUUAGCUUAGAUGUGGCUUGUGGUAGCUAAACAAAACUUAUCUUUACAGGAAUUAUGAAAUCUGACCCAUAUCACAAUGUAAAUACAUGUCUAGGUCCUAUGAAGGUCAUUUUAUGUUGGCUUUUAUGACUUGUCUACAUUUACAUUUUAUUUACUCUAAAUUAGUGAUAUCCCAAACUGUUCGCCGAACGGUUUGCGAACGGUUCACCACGAACGGUUCGCCACGAACGGUUCGCCACGGACUCAUCGUUGAGUAAACUUUGACCCUGUACCUCACAGUCAGCAGACACAUUCCAGCCAAUCAGCAGCAGACCCUCCCUCCCAGACCAUCCCACCUCCUGGACAGCUCACUAAGAAUGCAGCUUCACAAUGAAUGUAAAAUGGAUGCUGUCCGGGAGGUGGGAGGGUCUGGGAGGGAGGGUCUGCUGCUGAUUGGCUGGAAUGUGUCUGCUGACUGUGAGGUACAGGGUCAAAGUUUACUCAAUAAUGAGUCCGUGGCGAACCGUUCGUGGCGAACCGUUCGGCGAACAGUUCGGGACACCACUACACUAAAUGUAUGUAUCCAAAUUAGACCUAUCCUUUACAUUAAAAGAUCAGUGAAUCAUGUGAUAUACAGCUGUGUAGUUAUCUUGCAUGUAAUACACAUAAAUUACAUCUGUGGAAAUCAAUGGGCUCUAAAAGGUUGAGUACUUCACAUACCUGUUUUUCAAUGCUUUAACAUAAAAAAAAAUUCUUGAUAAAUAUAUGCUAAUCCCCCCUCCCAUGCUAGCAGCUGAUCACUGUCAUAAAAGGUUGGGCAGAUCUGCACUUGAUAAGGGGUGCUAAGGAGAACCCUGUAUUUGUAAAACACCUCUCAAAUGUUUUACAGUUGUGGAUAGGGUGCUUAAAGUGGCACUGUCACUUUUGAGUAUUUCCUAAAGACAUGAUCUCUAUAAAAUACUGAUCAAGACUGCUUUGGAAUUUUAGUGAAAUUUCAACACAAUCCAAAGAUAUCACAGGAUAAAGCAGGGACUACCUUGUCUGGUGGUUGACAAAGUUGCCACAAGGCAGAACUCUGCCCUCAACCUUUGUCUUAUCCCAGCAACCAUCACAACUGACGGCUGUGGGAGCUGAAAAGGGACAGCAGGGUGAACAUGUGGAUGGGUGUGAGAGACAGCUUGAGGUAAGUAAAACUUACCUUCUCCUACUCUGCAGCCACAGUACCCACGCUGGAUCUGUUACUUUCAGGGAUCUUUGUGAUGUAUGCAAAGACCACCGAAAGUGAGAGAAUGCUUUAAUAUGGCCUUUAAUAGUAAGGAUUUUACAGUCCUCGAUAAACGUAAAUGUAAAAUCAAAGGCAAGCUACUUGAUCACCACUGGUUAUAUAAUUCAGGAAUAAUCUAUAAAGGGCAACAUUGAAGCAGUGUUCUAAAACGUCAUCAGCUGCCAUGUAAACCUAUGCUGAUUGGUCCUCUUUCAGAACUUUGCCCCAGAAAUGCUCUGUACAAAUAUGUCCAUAGCACAUAUCAAAUAAAUGUCAAAAAAAACUUUCAUCAUUAAUAAUAUUCAUGCUAAUUUGAAUGAAAACAUGAAUAGGUUUUCUUUUAAGUUAUGAAAGGAUUUCAGGCAGAGCUGAAUACAGAUACAGUGGUGGUUAAUUUACUAAACAAAAGUGAGCUUCAGCGAGUUUGCACAAACUGGCAGGUAUGCAUUCAGCAAGGAAAUGUGGCAGGUACGGCCUGAAAUGUAGCCGAUGGAGCAGUGAAACUACGUGGAAUAGGCCUUGACAUAGCUAGGAGGAAGGCAUACAAUGGGUUGACAUGUCAAGGGGGCCUAUAGGAGUAUUAAUAACAUACAUUUUGUGUAGGAGCCAUUUUAACUAAGUCUGACUUACUUGUUGUUGUCCCACACUCCCUCCCUUGUUUAUGGUUUUCGUAUGGGUAUGUCACUUUUGUUAUCAGCUGGUGCGGGCGGGGGGUGUAGACAGAUUGGGGGUAGGUAGGAAUCGUAGCUGGAAACGUGGAAGUUCUGUAUCAAUAUUCACUUGGUUGGAUUUGGUAUUUGGUAGGUUAGAGCCCGUUGGUGGCUCUCAACCUGGUGAUGUAGGGGUGUCUCGGUAUACCCCUACAAUGUUUUAAACUGUUAUAUUAUGUUGCCUGUUGUGGCUGUGUGUGUUGUAUUAUGCAAUUUAAUACUGUUAUUGAUUAUAGAUGUUAAGUUAUGUUAUGGGGUAUAAUAAUUGGGGAUGUAGUUAAUGGCAAAUGUACAGAGUUUGGUCUGACAAUGACCCUUUGUGAAAAUAUAUAUAUAUAUAUAUACCUGUUUAAUUAUUAAAGCCGCGACAUUUACCCACUUUAAUUUAGUGUCUGUGUCUUUCUGGGUAGGAGGGUAAGUCAGGUAAUGUAAGGCAUAUGCUGAAAAGAUGACUAUGCGCAUGUUAUGUGUUUCACGUGCAUGUGUAUGGGGUAUAAUAUCUAGCGUACAUACAUAGCAGGAUUACAGAAAGUCCUGCAGUACUAACCAAGGGUGUCUAUAUGCUGCUAAGGCACUCUUGUGUGUGCAGAAAUACUUUGAAACAGACAUGUAUAGUCCGCGCAUGUUCAGUAAUAUAGUCUUACGGAGGAUUUUUUUUCUCUGAUGUCUCUGUAAGAAGAGGACUUGAGAAAUCACCCAGCGUGGGAGACAGGGGUUAAAACUGGGACUGUACCAGUAAAACCUGGAAAGUUGGUUAGUAUGUGAGAUUCCCUGACAAAAUGAGAUAAUGAGACACUAAUUCAAUGUCUAAAACUUUGCUUUUAUUUUUAUAUUAGUAAAAGAAAAAAGAGUGUCUCAAUAAUUCAUGGAUAUGGAUAGGUAUGUGUCAAUAGUGGAUAAAAUAUUUUCCUGCUGUUACAAGAAAAAUAUAUAUCAUUAUACUAAUAACUGAGACACUCUUUUUUUUUUUAAUAAUAUAAAAUAAAAGCAAAGUUUCAGACAUUGAACUAGUAUCUCAUUAUCUCGCUUGGUCAGAGAUUCCUCUCCAAACUUACAAUACACAACAGCAGUACAAAUGCAGGGUUCCCAACAGACCCACUUUGAGCAGGACGAACCCAAUUAUGGAUUCCUGUCCUGAAAUAGUUUUCUGAUGUCCUGUGUUUUGUUUUGUUGACUAACAAAUACAGUAUUUGUAAAUUAAAAAAAGGGUAAGAGAGAAAGAGGGAAGAAAAAACGAGCAGCAUGUGAUAGACAGCGGAGAUGGAUUUCAUGACACAAAUUGGCUAAUAGAAAAUUUGUGUCAUGGAAGGAGAAAUCUAAAAUUAAGUAUCUUUACUGAAACAAACUACAUGACAAACCAUGUCUGAGUUUUAAACAGAAAAAUGGUCAGUGUGUUCGAGGGUCUAUAUUACCAAAUCAGACCAUUUUUUGUGGUAGGAUCCGAGCAUUAUGUUGCGAGAAUUCGGCAUUUGUUCCCAGGCGUGAUUACAGUCAGCGAGGCUAUGAUAUUGGUAAAUGUUGGUAGUUAUGGGGUAUUCCACUAGUGAUCAAAAUAUACUUUUGAGUUACGACCAAAAACUUUAGAGUAGUCUAUGAUAAGAAAUGCCAUAUAAUACAUGGCAUGGUUUAAUGUAAUACAUUAAAAACAAAUAAUUACAGUAUUCAGUUGAGUAUCACCAUGGAAGUAGAAUCACAAAUUCAAUAUAGCAUUAUAUAGUGACACUUCAAUCAAUCACUUUAUAGUGAUCAAUAUAUCAAAGUUAAUAAUCAUAUGAUUAUUACGAAGAACUAAACAGAAGCACUAAUGGAGAGGCAACAAUUGAAAGCGAGGAUAGGCAUUUAUUCUACCAGUAUUUUAAAGGGACACUGUUGACACUGUUACUGUUUCAAAUAUUUUUAACCAGUUCACUGUUAUUACGAUUCUGGGUCCAGUAGUGUCCCUUUAAUACAGAGUCCGAAGUAAAUCUAAAGAGUCCGAAAUACCUCAGGAAAAAGGAAACUACAUGUUUUUUGUUUUUUAGGAAUUAAAGAUCUUUAUAUUUCCUCUGCAGUGGAAGAUUGUAUUCCCUUUUUAUCCUACCCUAGGCACCAAGAUAAGAAGCAAAGUGCUUUUCUGGUUAAUUUUCCAAAUAGUAAAAUCUAGGUUACUGCACAGCAGAAAAUAUAGCUUUUACAUUACCAAUAAGAUCUCUGGGACUGAGCCUUAUUUUCAGGUCAUGAAUAUAGCAUUGACUUUCUUUUCGCGGCUCUCUUCUUACAGCCCUGUAGUCGAUCACUGCAUGAAAGACAGUCCGAACCUUCCUUUCCUUUCCUUCUCUUCCUCUGUAAUUUUUUUUUUCCAUUUUUUUCUUUCUAUCCUUGGUACCUAUUUCAUUGGCUAUUUAUUGGCUAUUCCACUAUCUACCCUGAAUAUAAACUGGGUGGAUCCCAAGAGUUCACUGGAUCACACAAAUGCUCUAAUACAAUGAUUAAAGUGUCUCUGACACUUCUGAUUAUUUCAAAAAGAUACAUUCAUUAAAAAAUGACUGCGUUGGAAUUGUAUUCAAUGCAAUCCAAGCAUGCCAUCAGUCUUAUGGGUAAACCUGAGGUUGACAAAAGGAAGACUUCCGAUGUCAAUUUUUGUCCAAUCCCACCAGCUGUCUCAAGAGUUGGCCGUGGGAUUUAGGCAUUUAUAUACAGUCUUCUGGGAUCCUCCAUAAACCUCAGUGUUGUACUUUUGCGCAUGUGUGAGAUUACCGCACAGACGUGGCUUCUGGCAGAUAAAGUACCAGGUGCUGAAGAAGGUCUGCAGAUGGCAGUGGCCAUUAUGGAGAGCUAAAGUAAACCUACCUUCCACUGCACCACACAGACACCACACCCUAACCUAACCUCAGAUGCCACCUUCAUAUUUUGCAAAAACCCCCACAAGUGACUGAUCUGGUUUAACUAAAACCACAUACUUCCCUUUGCCUCUAGGUGGCAGAGUUGCAUUGCAGAUAUCAUCAUAGAAUUUAUGCAGCUACGGAUCUAAAAAAUUACAAUAAGUAUCCUAUGCUUGACUCACUAUUUGAUGAGUGCAGUCAAGUCCUCUGCUUUAUACCUGAACUCCAGGGUAAAUCUUGCUCUACUCUGCACUCUCUUUAAUUUAGGCUUCGAUUUAAUAUUGUUGGAUAAGUCUUCCAAAUGUUUUAACAUCUUUGGAUACAUUUUAAAAUGAGUUAAUGUAAUGACAAAUAUUUUAAUUUAAAUUUUUUUUAUGUAUGAUAUAUUUUCGUUAUAAAAUAUUUCAACAUUUAUCCAAAAAUAUGAAAUCAUUUGAAAAGCUUAUCCAACAAAGUUAAAUUGAAGCCUUAGCAUCGCAGCCCAUGCUAGUUUCCACGAUAUUUCUCUAGAUGCCAAUAUGCCUACUGAGUCCAACUGGUAGAGCCAGCAGGAUGAAGGGAUCACUUUGUAAGACAGAGGUUUUUUACACAUCACUUACAGCAACAACAUACAGUAUAAAAAAAACACAUCAAUUAUAUAGCAUUUCUAAAUGACAAAGCAAAGAAAACAAUUUGAGGUUUAAAAUAGUCACUUUAAUAAUGAUCUAUUUAUAAGUUCUUUGUGUGAGAAUAUUUAAACGUCUUUCUAUUGUCUGUGUUCAAGAACAUGUCAUUCUGAUUUUACCAAUAAAAAAAAAAAAUCAAACAAUCAAACAACCGACUACAGAAAUUUAGAUGCUUAGAGGGGAACCGUCACUUCUCUGCUAAUUUAAGGAGGAGAAAACAAACCCUCACUUGAAUUCAGAUAGCCACAUCGUAUCCAAACUGUAUAUAUUGUUACUAGAGUUGUAUCAAUUGUAUCUAGGCUAUAAUGAAACAAAAAACAGGAGAGAGCAAAAGACAGGUAUGUGAGGUAGAGGUUAGUCUUGGAGGCCAUAAGCUUUCCUAGAGAGAUGGGUUUUAAGGCACUUAUUAAAAGAUGCAAGACUAGGGGAGAGUCUGAUGGCGGUAGGCAGGAAGGGAGCCGCCCGCGAGAAGUCCUGCAAGCGUGAGUUGGCUGUACAGGUGCGGACAACGGACAGGAGGUGGUCACGGGCAGAGUGGAGAGACCGAGAAGGGACAUACCUAUGGAUCAGUGAGGAGAUAUAAGAGGGGUUAGAGUUGUUCAGUGCUUUAUAGGUGUGAAUUAGUACCUUGAAUUGACUCCUAUAGCAUUCAGGAAGCCAAAGCAAGGACUGGCAGAGGGGUGAGGUGUGAGAGAAACGACUAGAGAGGAAAAUCAGUCUGGCAGCAGCAUUCAUUACAGACUGUAGCGGUGCAGUAUGGCUUUUGGGAAGACCAAUCAGGAGAGGGUUACAAUAAUCCAUGCGGGAAAUUACUAGAGCAUGGACAAGCUCCUUGGUAGUAUCUGGUCCAAGAAAAGGGCGGAUGCAGGCUAUGUUUUUAAGAUGGAAUCUACAGGAUUUGGCAACAUGCUGGAUGUGAGGCUCAAAGAUGAGGCCAGAAUCAAGUAUGAGACAAGUGGAGAGAGAUCUAAUAAGGUGAGAUGGGACAGGAUCGAGCAGGCAAGUGGUGGGGCGACAGGGGCAAAGAAGAGCAGCCACCUCUUGUUCAGUAGCCGGGGAGAAUGUCUGAAGGGUAGGAAAGGCAUGAUCUAUGUGUGGUUGAGAAACAGAAUGGCAAGGAGGGGAGAAUUCUUUCCUUAGCUGUUCAAUCUUGUCAGUAAAGUAACAUGCAAAGUUAUCAGCAGUAAAGUUAGUUUGGGGGGUGGCCACAGCAGGGCGAAGAAGAGAAUUAAAGGUGUCAAAGAUUGGGAUUGUGGGAGCAUGAACUAAUGACAGAGGAAAAGUAAGACUUAUUGGCAAGGGCUGCACUGUAUGAACACAAUAUGAAUCUAUAAUGGAUAAAGUCUGACUGGGUGCGAGACUUCCUCCAGGAGCGUUCAGCACAACGGGAGCAUCUUUGCAGGUAGCGUGUUAAUUUAGUAUGCCAUGGUUGGGGGUGGAUCCUCCUCGAGGUGUUUGUUUGGAGCGGUGCUGCAGCAUUCAAGGCAGAUGUAAGGGUAGAGUUAUAUGUGGAAAUAACCAGUGAAGGACAGGAGAGGGAAGGGGUGGAUAGCAGUCGUGAAUCAAUAUCAGCUGACAACUGCAGGAGAUCAAGAGAAUUAAGGUCCCUCCUGAGUUGAGGGGGGUUAGGCUGAGGUUGUUGGGUGAGGGGGUACACGAGAGCAAAUGAUAAGAGGUGGUGAUCAUAGAGAGGAAAUGGAGUGUUGCAGAUAUUAGAUACUGUACAUGCAUAAGUGAAGAUUAGGUCAAGGGUAUUGCCAGCUACAUGGGUGGGAGAAUUAGCCCACUGUGAUAGCCCGAGGGAGGAAGUAAUUGAAAGUAGUUUAGAGGCUGCAGAGGUCAAAGGUGGGUUAAUAGGAAUAUUGAAGUCCCCGAGAAUUAGGGAUGGAAUGUUGGAAGAGAGGAAAUAGGGUAGCCAGGUAGCAAUGUGGUCAAGGAAGAGAAGAGGGGAACCAGGAUGACGAUAACCGCAAUGUUAGCAGAGAAGGGUUUGAAAAGGCGAAUUGAAUGUAUUUCAAAUGAUGGAAAAGAGAGGGAAGGGGGGUGGGUAGAGGUUUAAAGGAGCAGUGAGGGGAGAGGAGAAACCCAACACUACCACCUUUACAUUCAGAGUUUCUUGGGUUGUGGGUAAGUUGGAGACCACCGAAGGACAAAGAUGCAGGGGUAGCAGUGUCAGAGGGGGAGAGCCAGGUUUCUGUUAAGGCUAGUAAAUCUAUUGAACGAGAGAUGAAGAAGUCAUGGACAGCAGUGGAUUUAGUAAUAUUGCAAACAGAGCGUGCGUUCCAGAGGGCAGUAUUGAAGGAGGAAUUAGAGGAACACGAGAUGGGUAUGAGAUUAGUGUGGUUCCUUGGGUUAGUAUGGGGUGAGUUUGCUGAGAGUGGACCGGGGUUUGGAAAGACAUCACCAGCUGCUAGUAGCAGAAGGAUAGAAAGGAAGUGAAGGUGGGAGUGGGAUUUGAAAGUUUUGUAGGAGGGUAUGUAUGUAGAGGAUUUUGGAGGAGUUGGUGGAGAUAGGCUGGAAAGGUAUGUGUAGAGUGCAUGGGAUGAAUAGAGAGGGGAGGGGAGUAAGGUGGAAGUAAUGACGAUGGUGUUGCCAGGGACAGGUGAGCGAAAGGAUAGGGAUAUUUUAGUGAUGAGAAAAGUUAGUGUUAAAGUGAAAAAUAGAAGGGAGAACAUUAGAGAAAAUGUGUAUUAUAUAGAUAUGUAGAUCAUAUAUACAAACACACAAAUAUCAAUGAGUGUGUAGAGUCUGGUCUGCCUAAUGCAACACACAGGGAUGAGGGAGUCUGACUUGAUGUGGGUUGCUCAAAAUUGGACAAAGACAGGAGUUCACCCAAUACCUGUCUAAAAUAUUAAAGUAUGAAGGAGUAACACCUUAAUUCGGAGUAGUAUGUCCAGGAGCUGUUUCACCUGCAGAUGGCUCUUUGGUAGAGGUGUAUGUAUAGUUGUACCAGAUAAGGAACAAACAGGAAGUUCAAAUAUUGUGGAACAGUGAUGUAACAAUAUGUAUGGUGUAUAUGUCUUUAAAUCUGCUAGAGGCAGAGUAAGUCUAGUAUACACCAAAUAAUCUGCUUAGUGAAAGCAACUAUGUAAUACAGAACAACGGCAUGGAGAGCAGUUUUCUGUGAUAUACUAUAGUUGAUGUCACAAACCCAUAUAGUGACACAAUUAUUUAUGAUGUCUAUCUCUUUAAGUCUGCUACCAGCAAACCAACUAAAUUGUGCACAAUAAUGCUUCUUUAACCCCUUCACGACCGAGGACGGUUCAGGACCGUCAUCGGCAUUUUUGCCUUGCAGACCGAUGACGGUCCUGAACCGUCCUAACGGUCAGAGGUACUUACCUGAUCGCCGUCGUUCCCCCGGCGGCGAUCCGCGGUGCUCCAGUUGUGGGGAGACUGCCUGCAGCCCAGACAGUCUCCCCACACUGAAAUAGGACCCCUGUGGCCAUGUGAUCGCUUAACACAGCGAUCACAUGGUCACAAUAGGUGUCCAUUUGUCUGCCUGCAGGGGGACUGUCUGUGCUGACAGGCAGUCUCCCUGCUAGUGUAAUAUCAAAAAAUAAAAUAAAGUUAAUGUUAAUAAAAAAAAUAAUAAUAAUGUCUAUAUAGCAUAUAUAUAAUGCCAUACUAAGUGUAUUUUUAUAUUAAUAUGUACUUAUAUUAAUAUAAAAAUACACUUAUAAUUAAAUUACACACAUAUAUAUAUAAUAUAUAUAAUAACUAUAUAUACUGUAUAUAUAUAUAUUAUUAUAAAAUAUAAAUAAUAAGUAAUUUAAAUUAAAUAAUUUUUUUAAAAUAAUAAUAAAAAUUUUAAAAAAAAUUAUAUAUCUAUAUGAAAUUUUAUUCUAACUGUAUUUUAAAAUUAAUAUAUAUAUAUUUAUAUCAAAAUACACUUAGAAUGAAUUUGUAUAUAUAUCUAUAUAUAAAUAAAUAAAUCAAAAUAAUACAAAAUAUACAUAUGUCCAUAUACAAAAUUACAUAAAUAAUUAUAUAAAUAUACACGUAGACUUCAAAUAUAUAAAUAUGCAUAUAUAUUUAAAUUCUACGUGCAUAUUUAUGUAAUAUUUUUUACAUAAUUCAGUAAUUUUAUUGAUUGCAAUUUGAGGGACCUGCCUGCCAACCCAGGCCGAAAUUCCAGAGAAUUUAAUUUGCUAGCACUGUAUUUUACCCUGUAACGUUCUACGACACCCUAAAACCUGUACAUGGGGGGUACUGUUUUACUCGGGAGACUUCGCUGAACACAAAUAUUAGUGAUUCAAAACAGUAAAACAUAUCACAGCGAUGAUAUUGUCAGUGAAAGUGACUUUUUGCAUUUUUCACACACAAACAGCACUUUUACUGAUGAUAUAAUUGUUGUGAUACGUUUUCCAGUUUUUAAACACUAAUAUUUGUGUUCAGCGAUGUCUCCCGAGUAAAACAGUACCCCCCAUGUACAGGUUUUAUAGCAUUUUUGAAAGUUACAAGGUCAAAUAUAUGGGUCAAAUAUUUUACAUUGAAAAUGGCCAGGUUGGUUACGUUGCCUUUGAGAGCGUAUGGUAGCCCAGGAAUGAGAAUUACCCCCAUGAUGGCAUACCAUUUGCAAAAGAAGACAACCCAAGGUAUUGCAAAUGGGGUAUGUCCAGUCUUUUUUAGUAACCACUUGGUCACAAACACUGGCCAAAAUUAGCGUUCAAUUUAGUUUUUUUACUUUUUUCACACACAAACAAAUAUGAAUGCUUACUUUGGCCAGUGUUUUCGACUAAGUGGCUACUAAAAAAGACUGGACAUACCCCAUAUUGAAUACCCUGGGUUGUCUACUUUAAAAAAAAUAUGUACAUGUGGGGUGUUAUUCAGAGAUUUAUGACAGAUAAUAGUGUUACAAUGUCACUAUUGAUAAAUUUAAAAAAUUAUGUUUUGAAACCGCAAUAUUCUACUUGUACCUAUAGCCCUAUAACAUGCAAAAAAAAGCAAAAAAGCACGUAAACACUAGGUAUUUUUAAACUCAGGACAAAAUUUUGAAUCUAUUUAGCAGUUUUUUUCAUUCGCUUUUGUAGAUGAGUAAAAGAUUUUUCAAGUAAAAAUCAAAAAACAUGUAUUUUUUUCAAUUUUUCAUCAUAUUUUUUUAUUUUUUUAAAAUUAAAAUACAUGUGAUUAUAUAAAUAAUGGUAUGUAAAGAAAGCCCCUUUUAUCCUGAAAAAAACAAUAUAUAAUUUGUAUGGGAACAGUAAAUGAGAAAGCGAAAAAUUACAGCCAAACACAAACACCACAAAAGUGUAAAAAUAUUCCUGGUCGCAAAUGUACAACAUCGCAAAAACAGUCCAGUCCUUAAGGGGUUAACUGGAGUUGUCAAUCAUGUAGAUUGCAACCACAUUACUUGAUACUGUAUUACAGUGACUUAAAGCAUCUGUAUAAAAAAUAAAAGUUAAAAAAAAACACUAUUAAAAAGGAUGAAAAUAUUUCUAUUUUCAUCCUUUUUAAUAGUGUUUUUUUUUAAACUUUUUUUUUUUUAACUGCAGGUGAAACAGCUCCUGGACAUACUACUCCGAAUUAAGGUGUUACUCCUUCAUACUUAAAUAUCAAUGAGUGUUUAAACCAUUGUAAGGAUGCAAUGUGUUAACAGAGGAUUUCAGGUGAGGAGAGGUUUAGUGACUUGAUUGGUGUGUUUAGGAAACCAGCUGAUUUGCACUAUCUAUAAGUAAGGUAAUGACCAUGGGGUGGAAGGGUGGGCAAUCUUCCAGAGAUGAUACCUCUGCUCAGAAGAUUGUAAGUGCUAUAUUGUCCCUAUAUUACAGGGACUCUCCUUAGGGUUAUAGACGUGGAGCGUAUGUAUGUUUAUUUAUUUUUCUAUAUACCCUUAGGUUUAUCAAUAAAUGUGUUUUUAAUUCUCAAAGAAUUCUGAGGUUUCUAUAAUGUGUGACGUUCUAUCUUAGGAUCACAUCUUCUCAUAUGUCAUGUACAUCAGUGGAUUCCACUGAAUCAUCAUGGACCAAAAAUAAUAAAAAAACAAAAAAUGAUUAUCACAUCUUCUCACACAGAAAUGUUGAUACAAUCUGGAACAUUGGUGGUUACUAACGGCGAGUUUCGGAAGUGCUGAUUUAUGAUUAUUAUUUAUAAUAGCAACAGCAAUAAUUCUUUUUUUUAAUGCAUGGGCAACAAUAUAAAAUUAUAAUUUCUUUCUCAUUUUACAGCAAUCGAGCCAUGUGUAAAUCGUAUAGACAUUCACAGACACACGCAAUACAAUGCAUCUAUUGGAAAGACUCUCUCCCUAAAGUGUCCAGUCCAUUUCUGCUCUCCAGAAGCUCCGAAUAUGACUUGGUGUAAACGGAAUGGAGACAGUUGUCAGCCUAUAGAUACCGACUCCAGGAUCUCUUUUGAAUGGACAGAAUGUGCAGAACAUUAUGCAGUUUAUCUGCUGAAGUUUCAAUCAGUUAAUCUAACAGACAGUGGAUUUUAUGGAUGUUCUGCAAAAUACAAAGAUCAACAAACUGUGGGGCACCUGCUAAGAAUUAAUAUAGCUG